rnacentral:rRNA from 1 species
GAUGAACGCUGGCGGCGUGCCUAAUACAUGCAAGUCGAGCGAACAGACGAGGAGCUUGCUCCUCUGACGUUAGCGGCGGACGGGUGAGUAACACGUGGAUAACCUACCUAUAAGACUGGGUUAACUUCGGGAAACCGAAGCUAAUACCGGAUAAUAUAUUGAACCGCAUGGUUCAAUAGUGAAAGACGGUUUUGCUGUCACUUAUAGAUGGAUCCGCGCCGCAUUAGCUAGUUGGUAAGGUAACGGCUUACCAAGGCAACGAUGCGUAGCCGACCUGAGAGGGUGAUCAGCCACACUGGAACUGAGACACGGUCCAGACUCCUACGGGAGGCAGCAGUAGGGAAUCUUCCGCAAUGGGCGAAAGCCUGACGGAGCAACGCCGCGUGAGUGAUGAAGGUCUUCGGAUCGUAAAACUCUGUUAUUAGGGAAGAACAAAUGUGUAAGUAACUAUGCACGUCUUGACGGUACCUAAUCAGAAAGCCACGGCUAACUACGUG